AAUAAUUUUGGUUUUUCAUAAAUAUUUGUGUGCCGAAAUGGCUGACAUUAGAAAAAUUAUAUCCAUGUUGAGGAAAUACACUCCUACCGUUCUUAAAUACACGGUACAAAUCUUUCACUGGGGCUUCAUCCCUUUCAUCCUAAUCGUGGGCUUCUCGAAGGGCUCCGAUGCCUCGCCGCUCUCGUUCGGGUGUCUUUUGUAAAUCAGAAACCGAAGGGGAUCCCCAAACAGAGAGACUUCUGGACGUAAGCAAAACUAAAAUUGUUAAGUAUAGACAUUUUUCAAAAGAUAGACCAACAAAGUGGAUAAGGCUUCCACAUGCCAAAUUAAAGUGAACCCGAACUUAAACGAUGACGAAGCAAGUCCCCGACCCCAUCAACACAAAUUUUAUUUCGGUUUUGAUUGAAACUCAAGCGAUGAUGUUCCAAAAUAUUGGAAAUACGAAUUUUUAUUUCGGUUUUCAUUGGAACACAAACGAAUGUGUUCCGAAACUAUGUUUCAACAAAUUUUUAUAUUUUUAACGGAUCAGGAAAAACGAAGAAUUCAUAAUGUAUACUUAGUUGGCACCAGUGAGCUGCACGACUUGCCAAUCGUGCACCAUCCAUCCACCAACUUGUCCAUAAGGCCGAUGUGUAGUUUGCGGACUAACUUUUCAAGCCUUUGAACGAAUAAAGCUGUAUAUUUUCUAAAUAUUACAAA